CCCUUAGAUGUUCUGGGCUGCACGCGCGCUACACUGAUGCAUCCAGCGAGUUGUACCCUUGCUUGGUAAAGUUUGGUAAUCUGAGGCUAAUGUGCAUCGUGAUGGGAAUAGAGUUUUGCAACUAUUAGUCUUGAACGAGGAAUGCCUAGUAAGCGCAAGUCAUCAGCUUGCGUUGAUUACGUCCCUGCCCUUUGUACACACCGCCCGUCGCACCUACCGAUUGAAUGGUCCGGUGAAGCCUCCGGAUUGGCGCGCACCUCGGUGCCGCCGAGAAGUUGGCUAAACCUUACCAUUUAGAGGAAGGUGAAGUCGUAACA
rnacentral:rRNA from 1 species